AACCUGUCCAGGAGGUGGGGAAAACCUCGGGAAACUGAGGCUAAUACCGAAUGUGGCGCCCGCACGCAUGUGCGGAGCGCCAAAGGGGCGAAGCUCCCCUCACGAGGGCCCGCGCACCAUCAGCUUGUUGGCGGGGUAACGGCCCACCAAGGCUCACGGUUAGCUGGUCUGAGAGGAUGGCCAGCCGCACUGGGACUGAGAUACUGCCCAGACUCCUACGGGAGGCUGCAGUCGAGGAUCAUUCGCAAUGGGCGAAAGCCUGACGAUGCGACGCUGCGUGGAAGGAUGAAGGCCUUCGGGUUGUAAACUCCUGUCAUGAGGGAAAAGGAGACCUUACCUAACACGUAGGGGAUUUGAUGGUACCUCAAGAGGAAGGGACGGCUAACUCUGUGCCAGCAGCCGC
rnacentral:rRNA from 1 species